rnacentral:rRNA from 1 species
AUUGAACGCUGGCGGCAGGCCUAACACAUGCAAGUCGAGCGGAUGAAGGGAGCUUGCUCCUGGAUUCAGCGGCGGACGGGUGAGUAAUGCCUAGGAAUCUGCCUGGUAGUGGGGGAUAACGUCCGGAAACGGGCGCUAAUACCGCAUACGUCAUGAGGGAGAAAGUGGGGGAUCUUCGGACCUCACGCUAUCAGAUGAGACUAGGUCGGAUUAGCUAGUUGGUGGGGUAAAGGCCUACCAAGGCGACGAUCCGUAACUGGUCUGAGAGGAUGAUCAGUCACACUGGAACUGAGACACGGUCCAGACUCCUACGGGAGGCAGCAGUAGGGAAUAUUGGACAAUGGGCGAAAGCCUGAUCCAGCCAUGCCGCGUGUGUGAAGAAGGUCUUCGGAUUGUAAAGCACUUUAAGUUGGGAGGAAGGGCAGUAAGUUAAUACCUUGCUGUUUUGACGUUACCAACAGAAUAAGCACCGGCUAACUUCGUG